rnacentral:rRNA from 1 species
AGCACAGCGGUAUAUGCGCUAGAAGGCGAACCGGCCACCUGACCUAGAACUGGCCAGUCCUAUCGGAAGGCAGACAGUGGGGAUAUGUAUGGAGGACUUGACCAGCGGAACGCCGCGUGAGGAUGGAGCUCGGUGUAAACCUCUUCCAGCAGGGAUAGCGAAAGUGAGGUACUGCAGAAGAAGCACCGGCUACUAUGUGCCAGCGGCCGCGGUAAUACAUAGGGUGCAAGCGUGUCCGGAAUUAUUGGCGUAAAGAGCUCGUAGGUGGUCGAUCACGUCGGAUGUGAAAUUCUGAGGCUUAACCUCGGACUUGCAUUCGAUACGGGUUGACUAGAGUGUGGUAGGGGAGACUGGAAUUCCUGGUGUAGCGGUGGAAUGCGCAGAUAUCAGGAGGAACACCGAUGGCGAAGGCAGGUCUCUGGGCCAUUACUGACACUGAGGAGCGAAAGCGUGGGGAGCGAACAGGAUUAGAUACCCUGGUAGUCCACGCCGUAAACGGUGGGCGCUAGUUGUGGGAACCUUCCACGGUUUCUGCGACGCAGCUAACGCAUUAAGCGCCCCGCCUGGGGAGUACGGUCGCAAGACUAAAACUCAAAGAAAUUGACGGGGCCCCGCACAAGCAGCGGAGCAUGCGGCUUAAUUCGACGCAACGCGAAGAACCUUACCAAGGCUUGACAUAUACAGGAAUACGGCAGAGAUGUCGUAGCCGCAAGGUCUGUAUACAGGUGGUGCAUGGUUGUCGUCAGCUCGUGUCGUGAGAUGUUGGGUUAAGUCCCGCAACGAGCGCAACCCUCGUCCUGUGUUACCAGCAUUUAGUUGGGGACUCACAGGAGACUGCCGGGGUCAACUCGGAGGAAGGUGGGGAUGACGUCAAAUCAUCAUGCCCCUUAUGUCUUGGGCUGCACGCAUGCUACAAUGGCUGGUACAAAGGGCUGCGAUACCGCGAGGUGGAGCGAAUCCCAAAAAGCCAGUCUCAGUUCGGAUUGGGGUCUGCAACUCGACCCCAUGAAGUCGGAGUUGCUAGUAAUCGUAGAUCAGCAACGCUACGGUGAAUACGUUCCCGGGGCUUGUACACACCGCCCGUCGCGUCACGAAAGUCGGUAACACCCAAAGUCAGUGGCCUAACCGCAAGGGGGGAGCUGCCUAAGGUGGGAUCGGUGAUUGGGACGAAGUCGUAACAAGGUAACCAA